CAAUGAGAGCACAAGAAAACUACCAAUGCAGAUGUAUUGACAGAGGCACAUUUAAUCUGCAGUAUCAUUGAGUUGAUCAGUACAGACAGCUGAUUCGCAGCCUAACUGCAAAUACAGAACAUGCUAGUGUACGUGCAUGCAAAGCACAACACACGGAGCGUAGCGUAGAUGCAGAAGAUGCGUGUAAGUGGGGUUUCGAUGGUGUCUUGUCUGCUGCAUCGAUGAUUAGCACCUGUACUUCUGCACCAAGGUAGCAAUGCAUGAAACAUGCUGCACCGAGGGAUGGUGCCGAAAAAUUUUUAACCAACCAAGCACCUUUUGAAAUGAAUAGCAAGGAUUAGAAGACGCUAUCAAUGAAGCACUGAAAUGAAUGGUAGGGUUCAGCACCAUGUGAACUGUUUCAAACGGUGCUGGCGAAUCAAACAGCCAUAAAAUGACACACGCACAAAAACAAUGACACGGCAAAUAUGGUCAAUGAAGAACAACCAAACUCCAAGUGAAAUUCCGUUGCUAAUCACUUUUGACAACAUGAAAAGAUUCAACAAAGCACUCUUAGAAACAAUGGCACCCUGUGUUGAUGCUGAGAGGUGAUUGAGAAAGCUGUCAAUGUAGACAUCGCUAGAUACUCUUGCGGUACACAGAACAGGUGCUUAAAAGGGGCAGCGGUGCCGGUGCAGCAGAUAAACAGUGCCAUUGAUGCUGAUGCAGCACAUGCUGCUCGCACUUUUCAAUCAAGCGAUGAGGUGUAGGCCGUGUUAUUUGCUUGACUGGAUCACUCAAUGGCCUCGUGCAUAUGGCUGCUUUUUUGAAUCAGUGUGAGCUUCUUAUGCUU
rnacentral:lncRNA from 1 species